rnacentral:rRNA from 1 species
GUGGGGAAUCUUGCGCAAUGGGCGAAAGCCUGACGCAGCCAUGCCGCGUGAAUGAUGAAGGUCUUAGGAUUGUAAAAUUCUUUCACCGGGGACGAUAAUGACGGUACCCGGAGAAGAAGCUCCGGCUAACUUCGUGCCAGCAGCCGCGGUAAUACGAAGGGGGCUAGCGUUGCUCGGAUUUACUGGGCGUAAAGGGCGCGUAGGCGGACAUUUAAGUCAGGGGUGAAAUCCCGGGGCUCAACCUCGGAACUGCCUUUGAUACUGGGUGUCUUGAGUAUGAGAGAGGUGUGUGGAACUCCGAGUGUAGAGGUGAAAUUCGUAGAUAUUCGGAAGAACACCAGUGGCGAAGGCGACACACUGGCUCAUUACUGACGCUGAGGCGCGAAAGCCAGGGGAGCAAACGGGAUUAGAUACCCGGGUAGUCC